UACGGGGGGGGGCUAGCGUUGUUCGGAAUUACUGGGCGUAAAGGGCGCGUAGGCGGUCUGCUAAGUUGGAUGUGAAAACUCUGGGCUUAACCCAGAGCCUGCAUUCAAUACUGACAGGCUAGAGUUCUGGAGGGGAUAGCGGAAUUCCUGGUGUAGCGGUGAAAUGCGUAGAUAUCAGGAGGAACACCGGUGGCGAAGGCGGCUAUCUGGACAGAGUCUGACGCUGAGGCGCGAAAGCGUGGGGAGCAAACAGG
rnacentral:rRNA from 1 species